rnacentral:rRNA from 1 species
AUGAGGGCUUGCUCUCAUCAAAAGUGGCGCACGGGUGCGUAACGCGUAUGCAACCUACCUUAAUCAGGGGGAUAGCCCGGAGAAAUCCGGAUUAACACCGCAUAAAACACAGGAUAGCAUUAUCCAAUGUUCAAAUAUUUAUAGGAUUAAGAUGGGCAUGCGUGUCAUUAGCUAGUUGGCGGGGUAACGGCCCACCAAGGCGACGAUGACUAGGGGAUCUGAGAGGAUGGCCCCCCACACUGGUACUGAGACACGGACCAGACUCC